rnacentral:rRNA from 1 species
UGGGGGAUAUUGCACAAUGGGCGCAAGCCUGAUGCAGCGACGCCGCGUGGGGGAUGAAGGCCUUCGGGUUGUAAACUUCUUUUGCUCUGAACAAGGCGCACUUUGGGGUGUGUUGAGUGUAGGGGUUGAUUAGCGCCGGCUAACUACGUGCCAGCAGCCGCGGUAAUACGUAGGGCGCGAGCGUUGUCCGGAAUUAUUGGGCGUAAAGGGCUUGUAGGUGGCUGGUUGCGUCUGUCGUGAAAGCUAAUGGCUUAACUGUGGGUUUGCGGUGGGUACGGGCUGGCUUGAGUGCAGUAGGGGAGGCUGGAAUUCCUGGUGUAGCGGUGGAAUGCGCAGAUAUCAGGAGGAAUACCGGUGGCGAAGGCGGGUCUCUGGGCUGUUACUGACACUGAGGAGCGAAAGCAUGGGGAGCGAACAGG